UAAAUACUGUGUGCACUUAUUUUGAAAAGUACUGAGAGACAACAUGACCACAUUUAUAAAAACCUUCAUGUGGUUCUGAUCCGGGUCCCGUCAGGACCUUCAGUCUGACUUCCUGUCUGUAACUGGUUUUAAUCCAACUUUAUUUUUCUUUUCUUUCCCUUCAAUAAUAAACUGCCGUGCUUUUAUUUUGGAAGGGUCAUCGCUAUAAAUCCUGUCUGUGCGCGCGCGCGGCCGCCUAUACACGUGCCCGUCAGCGUUACAGGUGAGCAGGUGAGCAGGUGUUGUCCUCGGGUAACAGUCAGAUAAAGUCGUUGUUAACGAGCUGAACGCGGUUUAACGGAGGAGGUUCGGUCGGAGUUCAGUUCCCGUUCCGGUUCCGGGUCUUCUCUGUGAGUCCUGUCGCGGUUUGAAUCAGAUUCACGUGUCUGAUUUUCACUGUCGCCAUUUUGUUUGUUUUAUGUUGUUUGCUGCACAGGAGGAGGAAAGUAACGAAGUACUUUCACUCAACUACUGCGGCCUACAGCACAGACUGAGGUACCUGAGCGUUACCUGAGCGUUACCUGAGUAUUCUGGUUCUCUGUGUCUCUGACAGUUUGAACUGAAACAGUUUUCUCUCUGUUUUUGUCCCUGUGAGGCUCCUGUAGGAGCAGCGGCUGUUACCAUGGUGACCUGACCUGUUACAGGUGAACCAGUCAAACACCUGGAGGGUGCGGUGAUGUCAGGUCAUUGAGGAUUUCAGAGAAGGAUCCUGAUCCAGAUCCUGAGUGAACCUGAACCUGCAGCUGAAGAAAACUGAACUCAGAUGAGUCCUGGUUUAUGUCUCACCACCCUGUUGUCAGGUGUCACCGCCUCAUCCACAAUCACAGAGACGUUGAGGAUGAGGAAGACAUCGUCCACGAUCGUAGAGACCUUGUCAAAGAUGAGAGAGACAUUGUCCAUGACCAGAGACAUUGUCCCAUGCUUCGUGGAGACCUGUGCAAGAAUUGGUGGCAUUGCCUGCAAUCAUGGAGACAUCGUCCAUGAUCAUAAAGUCAUUGUUCAUGAACGCAAUAUAAAAAUAAUGUACAAGUAAGCUGUAUUAAUAGAAGUAAUGUAAACAUAAUUAGCAAUAUCAGAAGUAAGACGUAAUAGUCAAAGUAAUCUGUCACUAGAUGUAGUUUGCAAUAGUAAAAGUUAUCUGUAAAUUUAGAAGUAAUGUGUAUAAGAAAAGUAUUAUGUAAUGGUAAAAGUUAUCUAAUAUUAGAGGUAACAGUAAAACUAAUCUGAAACAAAAGCAAUGGAUAAGUAAAAGUAAAAAUAUAAGUAAAAAUGUCACAUUAUUGUAAGACAAAACAUUUCAAAAAAUGUCAUACUAUAGUAAGGGGUUAAAAAAUGUCUAAAAUAGUCAUAAUAUAAUAAGGAGUCAAAAAUUUCAAAAAUUGUCAUAGUAUAGUAAGGGGUCAAGAAAAAGUCAAAAAUUGUCAUAAUAUAGUAAGGGGUUUAAAAAUGUAAAAAACUGUCAUACUAAAUUAUGGUGUCAAAUACCGCCAAAAAAUGUCAUAGUAGGGGGUCAAAAAAUAUUCAAAAACUGUCAUAUAUAGUAAGGGGUUUAAAAAUGUAAAAAAAAUAUCAUAUAGUAAGACGUCAAAAAAUAUCAAAAAUUGUCAUAAUAUAGUAGGGCAUCAAAAAAAUGUCAAAAAAAAGAAAAAUGUCAGUAUAGUAGGGUGUCAAAAAAUGUCAAAAAAAUAUCAUAGUAUAGUAAGGGGUCAAAAGAAUUCAAAAAAUGUCAUAGUAUAGUAGGGUGUCAAAAAAAUGGUCAAAAAAUGUAAUAGUAUAGUAUGGCUUCAAAAAUGGUCAAAAAAUGUCAUACUAAAUUAUGGUGUCAAAAACCGCCAAAAAAUGUCAUAGUAGGGGGUCAAAAAAUAUUCAAAAACUGUCAUAUAUAGUAAGGGGUUUAAAAAUGUAAAAAACUGUCAUAGUAUAGUAAUGUGUCAAAAAAAUGUAAAAAAUAUCAUAUAGUAAGACGUCAAAAAAUGUCAAAAAUUGUCAUAAUAUAGUAGGGCAUCAAAAAAAUGUCAUAGAAUAGUAAGGGGUCAAAAAAAUAUCAUAUAGUAAGGAGUCAAAAAAUGUCAAAAAAUAUCAUAGUAUAGUAAGGGGUCAAAAAAAUUCAAAAAAUGUCAUAGCAUAGUAGGGCGUCAAAAAAAUGUAAAAAAUAUCAUAGUAUAGUAAGGCGUCAAAAAAAUGUAAAAAAUAUCUCAGUAUAGUAAGGCGUCAAAAAAAAUCAAAAAAUGUCAUAGUAUAGUAAGGGGUCAAAAAAAAUUCAAAAAAUGUCAUAGUAUAGUAGGGCAUCAAAAAAAUUCAAAAAAUGUCAUAGUAUAGUAAGGGGUUAAAAAAAUUCGAAAAAUGUUACAGUAUAGUAGGGGGUCAAAAAAAUUCAAAAAAUGUUAUAGUAUAGUAGGGCAUCAAAAAAAUUCAAAAAAUGUCAUAGUAUAGUAAGGGGUCAAAAAAAAUUCAAAAAUGUCAUAGUAUAGUAAGGGGUCAAAAAAAUUCAAAAAAUGUCAUAGUAUAGUAAGGCGUCA